GGCAACUCGGUCUGGUCCCCUUCCAGAGUGUGGGAGCUUAGUUCUUUCGGUCUUUGCAAUAAAUCUUGCUGCUGCUUACUCUUUGGGUCCACACCGCCUUUAUGAGCUGUAACACUCACUGUGAAGGUCUGCAGCUUCACUCCUGAGCCAGUGAGACCACGAACCCACCAGAAGGAAGAAACUCUGAACACAUCCGAACAUCAGAAGGAACAAACUCUGGACGCGCCGCCUUUUUAAGAACUGUAACACUCACUGUGAGGGUCCGCGGCUUCAGUCUUGAAGUCAGUGAGACCAAGAACCCACCGAUUCCGGACACACUUUCAGAAUGUGACGAGGACCUGAGGGUCUGGAAAUAACUGGGAAAGAAAAGCCUUGUGGAAAGAAGACAUCUCCAGGGAAAACAUGCUGCUUCUUCAAAGACUCCAAUUUCAGAUGGCAAAAUGCAUGGAAGCUGAGAUGGACCUUCUGGAGUUUUCGAUAAACCACUGUAGCUCAGUCAGAGGUCCAAUUAUGAUGAUACCCACACAGCCCGGUCCUCCCACAGCCUACAUCCAAUCCUCUGAGGAAGCUGAGUGGCACUGCCUUUAUUCACCACAGAUGCUACAGAAUCAGCAGGAAGGAAGACUGUGAAAAGGAAAAAUGCACUCUUUUAAGGUGAAGACAAAGUAAGAAGACAGGCCGUUUGUGAACGAAGAAGCAGUCCCUCACCAGACACCGGAUCUGCCAGUGCCUGGAUCUUGAAUCUGCUGGUGCCUUGAUCUUGGAUUUCCCAUUCUCCAGAAUUGGAAUUGACGUGAAAAGAAUGGAAACAUAAAAAGGAAAACGGAGACCUUUCAUGAACAAAGUAGAAUUCCUUGGAAAUGUGGUGCAGGUUGACAUUAUGUGGUUGUACAAGCAUCGGGUUGGCAUCUGCUCAGCUUCUGAGGAGGCCUCAGGGAGCUUUUACUCAUGGUGGAAGGCAAAAGGGGAACAGGCAUGUCACAUGGCAAAAGCUGGAAUAAGAGAGGUGAGGAGCCUCAUACUUUUAAACAACCAGAUCACAUGAAAACUUACUAUUGCGAGUUACAGCACGAAGAGGAUGGUGCUAAACCAAUCAUGAGAAAUCUGCCCCAAUGAUCCAAUUACCUCCCACCAGGCCCUGCUUCCAACAUUGAGGACUAUAUUUCAACAUGAUAUUUGGGCAGGGACAAAUAUCCAAACUAUUUCACCUUGCAAUCUAGCUUAUACCUACUUCUGGCUCUUAGAAAUCUAUCUAGGUCUAGAAGUCUGUUUUCUACUUGUCCACAAGAACAGUUUGACACUCAGUCCUCCUUAGUCAGCUUGGAUUGCUAUAACAAAAUAUGACAUAUUGGGUGGCUUAAAUAGCAGACAUUUGCUUCUCACAGUUUUGGGAGCUGGGAAGUCCCGUAUCAAGGUGCCAAUACAUUCAGUUCUUAAUGAUAUGGCUCUUCUUAGUUUGCAUAUGGCCACCUUCUCACUGUGUCUUCACUUGUGGGGCAGGGGGAGAGAGAGCUCUGGUGUCUCUUCCUCAUCUUAUAAGGACACUAGUCCUACAAGGCUCCAUCCUCAUGAGCUCAUCUAAACAUAAUUACCUCCCAAAGGCCCCACCUCCAAAUAAAAUCACGUUGGAAGUUGGGACCUCAACAUGUAAAUCAAGGGGGGGAUACAAAUUAGCAGUCCAUGGCAUCUUUAAUCGAAAUAUUUACAUUAAAGACCCUUUAUAUUUCUGUGUAACUAAAUACAAUAUUCGGCUCUUUCUUUUGAGGUCUUCACAAUCAGUGAGAUUUGAGAAUACUUCAAACUUAUUUUGGUACAUACACUUCCAAUGUUCACUAUGAAUUUAAGAUUAUAUUUGAAAAUUUCUUACCUGAUAUUUUAAAAAUAAAUUGUAUUGGUCCUGGCAUAAAUAUGCUUACCUACAUAAAAGGCUGGGAGCAUCACCACAGAUUUAUUCUAUUAAAUGCUAGAUUCAGAAAAAUAAAGGCAAGGAAACUAUUUGGUCCUAUAUCAUUGCAUAUUGACUUAUAAUGUGCCUAAGGAAGUUAAUAUUAUCAAAAAAUCUUGUCAAAUUAUAACAUAUGCCAUAUAAAAUGUACUGUACUUGCAGAAUGUCAAGUAAAUUAGUAGAAUGCAUGAAGUAAAAUGUGUGAUGAGGAUAAGGGCAGUAGAGACAGAAAUAAAUUAUGAAAAGAAAGAAGAAAACAAGUGCCUUAAGUAUAAUUUAUUAGUCUUAGUUUAUCAAAUCCUAUUUCAGCUCUUAAAAAUUAUUAUUUAAAAAACCCAACAGUCCACAAAAUUGAAUGAAAAUAAGAAAACUCAAACAUGCCCAUGCCUUUUUCUCACCAUUUCUUCUAUUCGUCAUUUCUAAAUAUAACCAGUGAGCAGGUGCUGUUCCUACUAGCCUGAAAAAGUCAAUGCAGAUUCCAAGAACCAACUUCACACUCACCAAUAAAUGAAUGUCUUCUCAUUGCCUAAGGAUCCAUUUGAAUGUAUCUAGGACUGAUUAUUGAUUUGCUGAGCUCCAACUAUAUGUCUGUCAUUGUACAGGGCGUGUGGAACAUAUGGUAAAAGCAUGAUACAAGGCCUCUAGUCUUAAACAUUUUAUGUUCUAUUUGAGAAGAGAACUUUAAUUGAAAAAGGAUUUAAUCAUAUAGAAUAUAACACAAAUAUAUUGUACAUAGUAAUGAAGAUCAUUGUAUGCUGAGAUAGCUAAGAAAUCAAAUCUUUAAUUAGGCUAUAAAUCAGAAAACAUUGUUUUAAAUCUGGUUUCCACUACUUCCCAGUGGUAUGAUUUUAGGGAAAUCACCUCAUUUCUCUGACUCUUGGUCUCCUCAUCUGAAAAGGUCAGUGAUAGUACUUAUGUCAGAGGUUUCUUUGGAAGAUAAAAGAUGAGGCACUAGAAAUGUAAUGCGUGACAUAAAUAAGCCAUGUGAUCAGCAUUAGUUGAAUUAGAAGAUGAGAAGGAUCUGGACAGGCUAAAAUAAAGCAGGCAGAUAUUUCUAGGAGAAGCAAAACAUAAAUGUAAAAUGUCAAACUUUAGGAUAUAAAUAAAUAACUUGUUUUCUCUUUUGUUUUAGACUAACGUAUAUUGAAAAUUUUGGUAGUCCUGUUAAUUCGAAUCACCAACACAUUAAUUUCUCAGUUGUAUCAGAAAUAUUUUCUCUGGAAAUAUUUGCUAAAUCUGUGCCAGUUCUGAAUAUUUUUUGGCAGGAAGGGUGGGGACUAUUUGGACCAUUGUAUCUUUUCAGAUCUCUACUUAGAACUCUGUAAAAUAUUGCAUACUCAAAAUGGAAUUCAAAGCCUGUAAUUAUGUAUCAGCUCAUAAGUAAUUUUCUGAAUUGUCACCUUUUCCUAAUUUUGGAUUGUGUUUUCUAUUUCGAAAUGAAAUGUUGGCAUGCCUACUAUUUUUUUCUUCUUCAAAUCUGGAUGCCCAACUGUCGAACUUCUAAAAUUUUACUUCCUACAGCGGAAUGAACAUGUUCUUAAAUACACUUUUAAAUUUUUGCUCUGAGUUAUUUUGCCAAAGCAAGGGAGUCUUUAUGACAGAAGAGAGUUGCUUGCAACAAACAAAGAAGGAAGAAGGAAUUUUUCCAAACACAGGCAUUUUAUAAAUUACCUAAUACGUGCAAGAGGUUAUUGAAGCUGUCUUUUCAAGAGCUUACACGAUCUCUUUGGCUUUUUUUAUCUUUCACAUUUUAAAUUUUGCUGCUGUCAUGUGUAUUUAGAGUCACAUUAUUUAAAUGCAGCCAUAAAUAAGCAGAUUUUGCAAAAGAUUCAAAUCUGUAGCAUUUUUAGCUCACAAACAGUUCCAAUAGUGGUGUGUAAUUGGAAGACUGAAUUCUGGUACUAUUUAGACUUAGUUUAAAAUACGGGUCUUCCAUUCAUUAACUUCAUGGCUUUGAAGAAGUCACUUCUCAUCCCAGAGUCUGUUUCCCAAUCUGUGAAUUGGGGAUAAUAAUAAAUAAUGAGCACACAGAGUCUAUAAGGGUCAUAUUUGAUAGUAAAUGUAAAGGUAAAUGGGACAAGAUAGUGGAGUAAGACUUUCCAGCACUGUCUCCACACACACAGAAAUACCAAUUUAAACAAUUGUCCACAGAUGAAAAUACCUUCACUAGAGCUAAGAAAACCAGGUGAGAGAUCACAGUUUCUGGUUGUGGCACAAUGAUGUAAAAAGAUGCAUUGAAUAGGGUAGAAAAGACAAUUUUACAUUACCCACACUACCUUUUCCCCAGUCCCAGGCAGCACAGUGUGGAGAGAGAUAGCAUCUGCUUGGGGGAAAGAAAGGGAAGUGAGCACAGGACUUUGUCUUGGACCCACAUUGGGCCCACCAGAGUAAAACCGAGCACUGGGCAGACUCCCCAAGGACCCAUAUACUAGGCCAGUAUCACAGACUGAGCCCCUAGACCCACCCUGGCAUGAGGUGGAAUCACACAGCCCCAGGCUUCAAGCUUGUAUGGUGAACUUGACCUAUGGCCUGCACCAACACCAGACCAAUGUCAGCAGCUUUGGGCUCUGGACAGCUCUAAGUGGCCUCUGGCUAUAUGCAUCUCAGUAUUAUAUUAGCCACAGCUGCCUCAGGCUUAUCAUCUGCUUUAGCACACAUUUGUCAUAGCAGGCCACAGGCUUCUGGCAAUACUACGACAGCCAUAUCUGCCUCAGGCUACCAGCCUAUACCAGGACUAUACCUGCUGCAGGGCUUUCCAAGACAAAGCCAGCCUGUGAAAACUGGAAUAACCCAGUUCUGUACCCACUUCUUCAAAUGUCCAGGCAUCAGUGUACAAUAACAAGAAUCAAGAACAAUCAGGGAAAUAAGACAUCACCAAGUGGACAAAGUAAGGUGCUAGUGACUGACCCUAAAGAAAUGGAUAUGUAUAAGAUGACUGACAAAUAAUUCAAAAUAACUGUUUUAAUGAAGUUCAGCAAACUUCAAUAAAACAGAGAAACAAUUUAAUGAAAUAAAAAAAUGUAACCAGAAUGAUAAAUUUAAUAAAGAUAUUAAAAUAAUUUAAAAAAUCAAAUAGUAAAUGUCAAGUGGAAAUUAAAAGGAGCUCUUUAAUUAUAGCUAUUAUUAUUUUUAUUAGAGAAAAAACUGAUCAUCAUUCAAAGCAUAUGAAAAAAAUUGUGGCAUGGGGAUAUUGAGAAAGUGUGGUCAAUUUCAGCUUAUAGACCCUGAAUUAUGUAGGUGGUAUUGCAUAAUAACAUAUAAUAGAGAACAAAAUGAAUAGGACAGGCAACAGGUGUAUAGGAGUAAUUGUUCAUAAUCGAAAAUCAUCAGUGCUUUAUUUAGUGAAAAUCAGUUAUUACCUCAUUUUCUCCAGGAAGAUUUCAUAGAGGCAAAUGGUAGCAGAAGGGAUUCUUUUGCCAGUGGUCAAUGGGAAAUCAAAUCAUUUUUGACAUUAAAAAGACAAGCCCAGCUUUAAAAGUCUAAAUAUUCCUCAGUAAAUGUAUACUGGAAAAAUCCCUUACUACAUUUAUUUUCUCUCUUAAGAACUUUAAAAAGGCAAUUUACAUGGCAUUCAAAAUGGUCAAUAUGGUAGGCUGAAUAAUGGUCCUACAAAAUAUAUCUUUUAAUCACCAGGAUUUGUAAAUGGUACAUUACAUGGCAAAUAAAAAUACUAAGCAGGUGUAAUUAAAUUCAAGAUCUUACGAUGAGAAGAUUAUCCUGGAUUAUCCAGGUGGGCCCUAAUGCAAUCACAGGACUCCUUAUAAGGAGAGGCAGAGAGAGACUUGACACAGAAUAGAAAGAAAUGAGUGAAAGAAGCAGAGGGAAGUAGAGUCAAAAGAAAAGAUGUUUUGCAACUGUCUUUGAAGGUGGAGGAAGGGGCCAUGGGCUAAAGAAUACAAGAAAUGCUGUUCUAAACACUGGAAAAGGUCAGGACAUAAAUUCUCACCUCAGUCCUCUUGAGGGAGCAUGAACCUGUUGUCACUUUCAUUUCAGCUCAAUGAUCCUUAUUUUAAAUUUCUGUCCUCUGGAUCUGUGAAAGAAUUUUUUUUUUGUUGUUCUAAACUACAAAUAUUUUCCAGGCAUAGGAAAUUAACACAGUAGAUAAAAUAUAUGUGUCUAUAUCUUUUUCUCGUAAAUCUCCAUUAAACAUAAGAAAUUUUAGUUUUUCAACAAUAGCAAUUAAAAUAGGAGGGAUAGCAUGGGCAAGAAAUGUCAACAGAUUUCUGGUAGAUGAUAAAGUGACAUAAAUAUAUGCAGAGGAGGCUGAAUUGUGAAAGGGCAUGGGUGCCAAGAGGAACAUAAGAGAAACUCAAGAAUCUGAGAGGGAAGCGGUGGUGAUGGAUGGAAAGGAGUAAUACACAGGACUAACAAGAUGAAUAUUUACUGAAGAUUUCUACAUUGUUCACUUAGGGUCCUCAAGCCCCUCUUGCUUCUACAUUCAGGAUGAUCUCCAGCCAGACAUUCACAUCCAGUUUCCAAAAAAGCACAGUUCUUUUUAAAACUAAAACUGAAUAAACUGUAUAGAGGGAACCAGGCAAAUUUAUUUGGAUGCUGGUAUCUGGAAGAAAAUCUUGCAUUUUGGCAUGUUGAGGAACUGUAGCAUAACAACUUCCUGACCUUUCAAGCUGAAACAAAUCCUGCUGUUGGCCCAGAGGACAGAGUUAGCCAUCUAUCUUAUUUCUUCACAUUUAAGUUUAAACAGGCAACAACACAUUACUGCCUUUUGAGGAAAGCCUGCAAGAGAAAAAUGUGAGAUAGAGAAACUGAUCCAAGAAAAAAACAUUUAUCAGGAAAGAUAAAAAAAAAAAAAGUUACAUUACAAUUGUAACUAGAUCCACUUUGAUUUUGAAGAUGUUUUAUACAUCAAGAAAAGGAUGUCACGAAUAAGGAACAGAAGACAGAAUUUACAAUUACAAAAAAGAAAUCCAGAAUUGAAAUAUAAAAAUUAAUAAAACUUCCAGAACCUAUUAUAAAGACAAAGACAGAAAUAUGAGAAGGAAGAAAAUAAAAUGUAUAAAACAGGAGUUCUAACAUCAAAUUAAUAGAUUUUUAAAAAAUAAAUGGCAGGAAGGAAAUUAGGAAAGUGAAGAAAACCUUCCAGAAUUAAAGCAAUGAGUCUUCCAAUUUAGAGGCUGACCAAAUACUGACAAAUUAAGUGUACUUAGACAUAUCAUUGCGAAAUUUUCUCACAUUAAGUAUUCUUAAAAUUUCCAGAGAGAAACAUACUUUAUAAAAUGUUUUUAAAAAGACGCAGAAUUAAAUUGGUGUCAGACUUCCCAUAAACAGCAUGCAAUGCUUGAAAACAAUGCUCUGAGGGAAAUGAUUUUUAACCUAGAAAAAAUACUUAGUGAAACAACCAAUCUACUGGGAGAGAGACAACUUGCAUACAUUUUCAGCAUACAAGGAUUUAGAAAAUUUACCUCCCACACUCACUUUCCUAGGAAGCUUCUUGAGGGUGUAUUCUAAAAAAUAAGACAAAAUAUAAGAAAGAGGAAGUCAUGAGAUUCAGGAAACAGUGGCUGAACGCCCAGGAGAAGAGUGAAUGGAAGUGCCAGGACUGCAACUGCAUAGCAGAUCUAGGAAGCAACCAGUCAAUAUUGGAGCAGGAAGAUGCAAAACUCUGCAAGAAAAACCUCUGGGAAAUAAAGAGGACACCAUACAAUAAUAGUAACUGUGUGAGAGAGACUAGAAAUAUCAAGAACUGGAUAAAAAUUUUAAAAAAUGCAAGAAGAAAAAUAAAGACCUACUCAAAUUUCAGGAAACAAAAGUCAACAAGAGUCAAAUAGAACAGCAUGGGCUACAGGCAAUUGAGAGAAUAAAUAUGAAUUGGAAAAAUAUUGUGAUUAAGUUUCUAUUACCAGUAAUAGUGAAAAAUAGAAGCAGAAAUUAGAGAAAGCCAAAUAAAACUCAAGAAAUACACUGUCAAAAUACAAACUAAAUAAAAGUUGUAUCAUGCUUUUAAGCAUAGGCUGGGUAUGAAAAGAGAUUCAUCAUUUGAACAUGAUGCUAAGAGUACUUUACUUUGGAUAUCUCCAAAAUAGUAUUUAGUAUCUAUAAUAGAAAUAUAGAUGGAAAUGAUAAUAUCUCAUUAAAUAGCCCUGUAGUAGUUAGAUCAUCAUGAUAACUUAAACAAGGUUUUUGCCAUUUCAGCUUUUAGAGUCAACCUAUAUACAGAGCAUGAAAGCCUUAAUUAUGGUCACGAUAAAUGAAAAUAUUAUAAAUUUUCAUAAGGUAAGAGUAAAAACAACAGAAGUAGGGAGGUUGUUGGUAUCGGGAGACAUUAAAUAGAAGGAAGGGUAAAGAUUCUAAUACCAUUAUCUUAAAGAAUUAUGGCUUUACUUAAAGGAACAAAUAGAGGUUGAAGUGCAUUAUUUAAUGGGGCUUGAUAUAAAAUUUAAAGUGAGUUAGAGUAAUAUUUAUGCAAACGAAAGAUGAUACAAUGAUAUUGGUAGCGAAAGGAUAUAACUGAAUUAAAUUCUAGUCUAUCAUAGUAAAAAGUCAAUAUAUGUGGUCUUAAGUGUAUAAAUAAAAAACUAUAGUAUAUUACUUAGCAAUAUAUUAAUGCUUUAAUAAUAUACUAAUGUUGGAUAUUGUUGGAUAUAGAAAUGUACUACUGCUGGAUACUACCAACAAAAGAUUUUUAUUUUUUUAAUGUUAAAAAAUAAAUAAAAGCUCUGAAGAAGAAAGGGACCAGAUGUUAAUACUUACUGAAUCUCGAUGGUCAAUACACAAUCCUUUGGAUUUCUCUAUACUCAAACACACACACACACACACACACACACACACACACACGAUUAUGGAAUAAAAAAGACUCAAUCAAACACAAAUACCAGAACUAGCUAUGUGACUUAGGGCAUCUUCAAUUCUCUGAACAUUAGCAUCCUGAUCUGAGAGGUAGAGAGUAGUAUCUAUAAUACAGUACUGUUGUAAGAAUUAAAUUAGUUUAAAUUUUCAAAGGACUCAGUGUAGUUUCUGGCACCAGAAAUCUAAAUAAAUGAUAGCUUUCUUACAGGAAAGCUAUCAUUUAUUCCCCUGGUGUGCAGUUGAUAAUAGAGAGCUGGAACCUGAGGUCCAUUUAUCUAUAUUAGCUCAAAAACAGAAUUUCUGAAGACAAUAGAAAAGUACCAAGCUUUAUUAUCUAAACUUUAUAAAACACAGUCCAGAGAAGUGAAGGGUAGAUCAUCUUAACAUAGAUUUAUGAAAUAAUUAAAACAAUCAUUCAAGGAAACUUUAAUCAAAAAAGUAUUAACAACCACCCCUUGCUCACCAAUAAUGUCAUAAUGUAUGGUUCUACAACAAUCCUGUUUACUAUUUUAUAAACUCCAUGACUGAAUACUGUUAGCACCUAAUCAAGCAAUUAAUACAUCUCUGUUGAACACUUAUUAAAUUCUGGGUACUACAAAACAGUAUUUUCAGGGAUAAUUGGAAGGACAGCUGAGAAAGGAAUGAGGCCAAUAGACCCAAGUUUCAGGCACGCUGAUUUAUUUUCAGUCCUGCCAGGCUACCUCCUGACAAAAAGAGAGGAGGCAGCCCCGCUUACAGGCGACAGCAGAACUUUAUAGGGUGACGAACUGGGUCAGGGUUGGGGAGCUGAGUUGGGUGUGCAGGAGGGCUGAGUCGGGGUCGGGGAGCUGAGCUGGGUGUGAAGGAGGGCUGAGCUGGGGUCGGGGAGCUGAGCUCGGGGUGCAGGUGUCUUGACAGCAUCCUGGAGAUGUUUUUUGUCAGCUUUGUUAUGUGAGGUGAACAGACACGUUUACUGCAUCCUGUAACUGUCUGGACAAACAGUUAAUGGAGGGGUCUGUGAAGGGGGGGUUUGUCUUUUGCUCUGGGGUAGCUGUGUGGAGAGCGUAAGAGACUGUAUUGUAAGGCCUGUGGGAGGGGAAGGGAAUGGUCUGGUGGGGGUGACCCUAACAAGUAUUCUCCAGGUUCUUAUGAUAUGGUAGGAAUAUGCACAAAAAGGCACACCAGGCAGUAUUUGAUAAGCCCUAGACUUGUCCACAGAAUUAUAAUUAAGACCGCCACCACUGCAAAUAAAGGAGGAUGUUGCAACAGAAAUAGCACUAGCAUUGAUGUCAAGAGACCUGGUUUGGAAGCCAGCUCUUUUGGGUGACUGUGUUAACACUGUCACUUAAUCUCUCUGAGCCUCGACUUGUUCACUUGAUAUACCACCUGGCCUGACUACCUCAAGCACUGUUGUGAAUGUUAAAAUGAGUUGACACAUGAGAAAUUGCUCUUGGAGGACAUAUAAACUCUUGCUGGGGAGUUGCUCCCAGCUGUGUCCAAGAGAGUAGUUAAAUGUUCAUUGAUUUCCCCAGAACAGAGCCUCCAGUUUUCCUGCUUUCAUUUCAAAAGCUAAUUUCAAUCUUCUUUGCUCUUCCUGAUACCCCCUCUCCUGCUGCAGCAGUUACAGAAAACAAGAUCAAAUCAGCAGAAUGGCUUUCUUUCCAAGGGGAUAAAAUUAUCUUUACUUACGUGUAUAAAUUCCUGAGGCCAGGAAAAGGGCAGAUCUAGCUUAGUACUGCUGACUCCUAGCCCUUUACUUUUGCAAUGUCAAAUUGCAUAUCUGUCUAUCCAGUGAAAAUUAUAGCAGGGAAAAUAUGGGCACUUACAACUGGAAAUUAAACAGUCCACUACCCAGCAUUGCCACUGCCUCUACUUACCCGCUAGUUACUUGUCAAGAGGUCCAAAUUAUAAUUCUAUUACCUUGACAAUGCCAAAUAUCAAAUUUCCCCUAUUUUUCCCUUUCCCCUACUCUCCAAUGUUUGAUGUUAUUGUCUGAGUCUAUUUUGUGUUGCUAUAAAGGAAUACCUGAGGCUGGGUAAUUUAUAAAUACAAAUAGUUUAUUUAGCUCCUGGUUCCGCAGGCCGUACGAGAAGCAUGGCACCAGCAUGUCCUUCUGGUGAGGGCCUUAGGCUGCUUCUACUCAUGGCAGAAGGUAAAAGCCAGUGUGUGCAGAUACCACGUUAUGAGAGGAAGCAAGACAGAAAGAGGGAGGUGCCAGGUUCUUUUUCACAACCAGCUCUGGUGGGAACUAAUAGAGUGAGAACUCAUUCACCCCAAGGGACCGCAUUUAUUUAUUCUUGAGGGAUCCAUCUCCAUAACCCAAAUACCUCCCAUUGGGCCCCACCUCCAACACUGAGGACCAAAUUUCAACAUGAGGUUUGCAAGGAACAAAUAUCCAAACCAUAGCAGUCAUUACGUAAAGUCUGAAAAUAUUUGUUAAAUAUCAGUAAAUUUAGAGCAGUUGUUAUUGAACAAUAUUGUUAUUGGUCUGUUCUGGAUACUCUAAAUGAAGAAUUAUUUUCUUUAGCUAAUUGGAUAUGCCGGUAAUACCAUGAAACAAGCCCAACUUUGCAAACUUUCAGCUAUGAAGACCGCAAUAUUGUCUGAAGCUCCUCAGAAUUGAUGCUUUCCAAACCCAGAGAGGCAGGCUGAACUUUGCAUAGAAUAUCUUAUGAGUACAAACUCUUAUAGUUUCAUACAACUUCACAUUUUUGUUUCUAGGCAACCAGAAACACAGAAAUAUGGCAGCCUCAUAUUUGUAAUGCAGAAUUCUGCUGUUUCAAGAUUAUUUAUUGUAAUAAUUUCUGCCCUUUAUAUAAACGUAUAGGGUUAAAUUAGGCCCUGGCUGAUUAAAGAAAUGUAAAGGACUAUAAUUUGCUUUCCAUAGGGUUCUAACUAUGAGUCAGGCACCAUUUAAAGGAUAAAACUUAUGCAAGAUCCCUUCCCUAAAAAAUCUUACAAUAUAACAGGGAGCUCUAACACUCUCAUAAAUAUCUAAAUGAAACUGUUACAACAAAUGUUAUCCAUUUUUACUACAGCUAUUUUCUUUCUUUAUUUAUAGUAAUUACUGAGUGCCUAUUAUUUAUGCCAAAGACUGUAUGAGGAAUUAGGACUCAAACAUAAGUGACGUAUUAUUGCUGCCCCCUAAGCUUGCAAUCUAGAGAAAGAAGGAAACAAUAAGAAACUGAUUUUACAUCAUCAAAUAAUAAAUACUAUAUAAGAUGUUCAGAUACAAUAUAUGGCAACACCCGAGGAAGACAUUCGGGCCCUGUUUUAAAUAAUUCCCUCCACUUAAAAUGUAUUUCUCCACUCCUUACUUUGCAUCGAUACUCCUUUACCAUCCUGGUAACUUACUCACUUUAAAGAACAAAGCUCAAUGCUAACCUUUCCUGACACCACCUUUGCUAUACACCUCAGGCAAAUGUAGCUGCUAUAUGCCCUCUAUGCCCAUGUUAGCCAACUCUUGCAUUGCUAUAAAGAAAUACCCGAGGCUGGGUAAUGUGAAAAGAAGUUUAAUUGGCUCACAGUUCUGCAGGCUGUAUAAGCAUUGUUCCAGCAUCUGCUCAUAGUGAGGGCCUCAGUAAGCUUCCAAUCAUAGCAGAAGGUGAAGGGAGAGCAAGCAUGUCACAUGGUGAGAGCGAGGGAGCAAGAGAGAGAGGGAGGAGGUGCCAGACUCUUAAACAACUAGAUCUCGCAAGAACUUACUCACUAUCCCAAGGACAACACCAAGCCAUUCAUGAGAGAUCUGACCCCAGGAUGCCAACACCUCCUACCAGGCCCCGUCUUCAUUGGGGAUUACAUUUCAAUAUGACAUUUGUGGGGGACAAACAUCCAAACUUUAUCAAUGCCUGCACCAAUGCUUAACACGUAGUUAGGAAAUUUGUAGCCUUUUUUUUUCCCCAAAGGAAUGACUCUGAAGUGAGAAUACUGAUAUUUUCCUGUAUCAAGUUUUCCUAAGACAUGUACCUUUCUUCUUGAAGAACCAAAAAAUAUUGGCUACUAGCCAUAUAUAAACACUGACAUUGAGUAGUUAUUAAAUUUAAUUAUUCAUGAUGUCUACACUAUAUAAAUUAAACAUGACAUAAGUACAACUUUUUCCAGCUUACUAGGGGACCACUCAGUAUACAGCAAGUGAAUGCAUUCUGUUCAAUAGCUGGAGCAUAUUGCCUGGUGAGCACCCACAUGAACAUCAAGUGCUUAUGAGGUUAACGCUAAAUUCCAGUUCUGUGCAUUUUAAAGAGAGAACCCUAUCCACACUAUACACAUCUGUCUGGCUCACUAACACACAGUGAUUUCCCAUUUUUUCAUAAACCAGAUUGUUAACUGCCUUAAAAUAUGUACUUAUUCAGAGGCAACAUUAAACAGCUGCCUAAAGAAAUACUAGUACUAGAGCAAUAUCCCCUUCACCAACCAUCUUCUUCUUCAAUAUUUUUCUUAGAGUCUCUUUUUAGUUUUCUUCUCCCCUCUUUUUCUUUUCUGUGUAGAUUUUGAAACAUCGUUUUGUUUUUCUUUGAGACGGAGUCUCUCUCUGUCACCCAGGCUGGAGUGCAGUGGUGUGAUCUCAGCUCACUGCAACCUUCACCUGCUGGGUUCAAGCAAUUCUCCUGCCUCAGCCUCCCGAGUAGCUGAGACUACAGGUGCAUGCCACCACGCCUGGCUAAUUUGCUUUUGUAUUUUUAGUAGAGAUGGGGUUUCAUUGUGUUAGUCAUGAUGGUCUCAAUCUCCUGGCCUCGUGAUCCACCAGCUGCGGCCUCCCAAAGUGCUGGGAUUACAGGCAUGAGCCACCAUGCCCGGCCCAAACAUUGUAUUUUUAUGGUGCUCAAGACCACUCCUUUUAUUCAAUUUAUGUAUCUUGGUAUUUCUUCUUUCAGGCAAAAGAGUUAAUUUAAAUGUUUGACAUGUAAAGACAGAUCAACAUCUAAACACUACAAUUAAAAUUCAGAGAGUAUCUAAAAUGAUAAGUUAAAAAAUAGAUAAAUAAAAAAGUAAAGUAAGUGAGUUUCUUACAGGCAACCUAUAAUUACUCUUUUUCUCUUUAAAAGCCUGGCUUUAUUAGCUUUAGAUGUUUUUAGCUCAUGCAAAGUCUCAAAAUAAUAUUAUAUUAAACAUUUACAGCAGAGUUGUUGUAGAUCAAAAUUUUACUUAAAAUAUUCAGAAGCAUUUCCCCCUCUCUUAGAAAGCCAAUCUAGUUGUUCCUCAAAAUCCAUUAUAUAAAAGAGUGAAAUACACACACACACACACACACACACACACACAAACACACACACUUCUCCAUUAGAUUUUCUAAUCUAAGCAUUGUAGAUACAAAACAAGGACAGCAGGAUUAUCAGUAAAUUGAUAAAAUUAUAAGUGCAAAAUUUGUUUAGAAGCCAUGGAAUGUUAUAAUUAAAAAUGAAACCCCCAAACAAGUAACCAAUAUCUUUGCUUUGGUUGAUUGCUGUGUAACAAACCACCCUCAAAAUUCAGUGGCUUAGGCUAGCACUUAAUUAUUCUCUCUCACACUUCGGUGUGUUGAUUGGGUCAAUAUGGUGGCUCUCACUUGGGGUCUCUCAUUGAAUUCAAAUAGCUGCUGGGGCUCCAGCUUGCUAAAGGCUUUACUGGCCUAGACAUAUACAAUAGCAUCUACACUCACAUGUCUUCUCCUUGGCUGGGUUGACUGAAAUAGCUGGAGAAUGUCCACGUAUCUCCGUUUUCCCCAUGUUGCUCCACUGCUUGGCUAGGUUGGGCAUUUGCUCACAGCGUGGUGUCUGCUGGCUUUUUCCAGGGUACUCAUUCCAAGGGACCUAGGUGAAAAUCUGCAAGGAAUCUUACAAUUUUAUCUCAGAAGUCAGGCAGUAUCACUUCUACCAUGUUCUUCUGGUUAAAAACAAGUUACAGGACCAUCUCAGAUUCUCAGAUUCAAGGAAAGGAGGCUACACAGGAGUGUGAGUACUGAGAUGCAUGGCUCCAGUGUGAGCUAUUUCUGAAGACCUGCCAGUCUAACCUCUAAUAGUAUUUGCUUAACAAUAGUGAUAACCUUAAUUUAAUUCUAAAUGUUAUGUCCAAUGGGUGGUACCAAAAGGGUUGGCAGAGAAUAGAAAUGGACACAUCCCUCUGUGGAUUUUAUAGGAUAAUGUCUCAUGAAAAGAUAUAUUAGCAAGUGAAAAAUGUAUUUGAUUUUUAAAUUUUCUGCAUUUGUGAAUAGUUCAAAUAUAAAGAUAAUUUAUAGAUAAUUCAUAGGUCCUCCUUUCUGUCAAUAUUAUCAAUCACUAUUCUUUAAAAAAUACUUCUAUAAAGAAGGUAAUAAAAAUAUUUGUUUCAUAUUUCAAUAAAAAUGUUGUUUUAAGGAAAAGCAUUUGAUGCAUUGAAGUCUUACCUCAUUUGCUUUGGUGCAUAUACUAACAAGCAGCAGGCAGGCAACAAAAAAAAAAGUAUUAAACAAUAACAUGCCUAAAAGAUGGUAUAGAAAAAUGAGGAGUGCUAUUCCUUCCUGUGACUACAAGGGAUGUAACUAAAUAGCCUAAGGCUUGAGGGAGCCAUGUACGUCAAAGGAAACAAGCUCUCUACCACAACAUGAAAAGACAUUCUUCAACUCUAAACUUUUAUAUCUCCCUGCUGAAAAGGCCUAUGUUGCUUACAUUUGAGAUCAGUAUGACUAUGCAUACUAAUAAUAUGACUUAUUCCAGCAAUCACUGUUUGGUUAGAAUUUAUAACUUGAUUUGGACCUGACUAGAGAUAUGAUUCUGUUCACUAAUCCACUUUUGUCUUAGAACAAGCAGAUUAUGUUUGUCAGUUUUUGAAUGCUAUUAGGUUAAUUUGAUUUAGAAAAGCUAAUUGGUUCAGUGUGUUAUUUUUAAGAGGAAAAAUGAUUCCAAACCUAAGAUAGACAAUAGAUAUGUGUGCUACCCCACACUGCUAGGAAUGUCUUGAAGUGUUUAUAGAGUUAAUAAAGCUACUCACAGAGGUGGGUGUUUCACAUGGCCCCAGGCAUGAAUCGGACACCCCCUGAGUGUCUGCAGUUUUGAAAAUGUAAUGGGAGUAACAGAGUUUGUGGAUUGCCUUAGAACAAUGAUUAUAUUUUCUUUUUUCUGAGAUCAUGUUACAAAAGGAAAAACUAGCUUCUUAAGUAACUAGGUAAGAUGGCAUGCUUCAAGCUGGUCUAGUUCUUGAGGUCUCAUUAAACCUAAAGAUUAUUUAUCAUGCUGUGAGUUUGAAUUGCUCUUUACAAAACUUUUUAAGAUGUCAGUUUAAACACGCAAGUAUACGGUAUUCUAAGAAAUGAGAGUUUAAUAGCCUGUAUUGAUUCUUCUGUAAGUUUCAGGCAUUCAUAUGCUGCUUAUAGUCUCUAGUGACUCAAUGACUAAUUUCUGUCUAAGCUGUAUGAACAUCAUUUUCUUUAGCCAAUAGCCAAAUACUGUGUUCCAUUGUUUAGCAUUGGCAAUAGUGUUUCAACUGAGGAGAUAAGCCACAACCCAGAUAGUUUGUUGCAUUAUGGUAUAUUUUGGUUUGUAAAUUGUCAGGGACAAUAAAUGUAUGUUUUAUCUUUUUUGACAUAUCUGUUUUCAAAGUAAUUAACAAUGGUCAGAUACUUCUCUAUCUAAAGCAAUAAUCUCACCUCAACCCAUGGAUCUUUUUGUUACUGGUUAUUUGGAGUGCAAGAUGCUGGCUAAUACGGAUCAGAAAAUGAGUACUUUAUAUUGAAGGAGAGAAAUGUAUCAGGAUUUGUUUGUGGAAAUAGAAUGCAUGAAGCCAUUGAAUUCCAGUGAAUAUUUACAAAUCUCUAUGUCAUUCUGGAGGAACGAACAGCUAAGGACAAGAAGAUUGCAAAAUAUUUACUUUCUUGUGACUCUGUUUGAGGUAAGCCAGAAAUGGAGUUGAGAAUUGACAACGGAGCAGAGAAUUCAGCUGACAAUAGUAGAGGCCCAGUUCCUGGUUGUCCUGGUAACAGCACCACCUCCUUAUAAUAAGGGUUUUAUUAUGUGAAAAGACUUAAGCAAAUGAAGCAACUAUGGUUUAGAGGUAGAGCAAUACAUGGUCUGGAUCAAGGGUUGGCAAAUUACUGACAAUGGCCUCUUUUUAUGUGGCCCUCAAGUUAAGAAUGGUUUCUACAUGCAGUAGGUAAUCCUAGUAGCUACUAGGUCAGAGGAAUUUGCUUAAAAGUUCAAUCUGUUGCUAGUUAAUGUUAUGAGAUUAGAAACAAAGUACUCUGACCACUUUAAAACUAAAUAAAAUAUUUUUUAUUUUCUGCA